GUAAGUGUCAGUUAUUUGAAAUAUAAGUUUAGGACAAACACAUUCUACGUGAAAUAUUUCCACAAAACGUGUUUGUUAGGUUUCGAAGUACACAGAACUGACUUGAUUAAAGGUCAUCGCACAAAUGGUUCAUUUACUUUGAGGAAAGCUUGUGCAGGUGCUAAUUUACUAUGUAAUGUAAAGAAAUAUAUCAGCGGAAUACAACUGUGACUUUGUGGUCCUAAAGUGUUUUAUUUCUGAGCAGUGCUGCUUCUGCGUGUGAACAGAGAGUGUCUCUGGUGUUUUCCUGAUACGUCUGAUGUCAGGCGAGUUCUUUGUGGUGCUGAUUUUCAUUUCAUGUUUGUGUCUCUGACCUGUUUUCACGCCUGUAAACCUGUGAGCAUUACUUCAAAGCAGCGUUCACAUUUUCACCCACUUUAAGAGCGACCAUUUUGUUUUGAGGGGGGGUUAUUAUUGAAGACCCGCUCUGUGCCCAUCUUAGGCAUGGAUGGACUGUGCAGUAUUAUCCUUGUUCUUUUACUCACAGUAGCAGGAGCUUUCAAUAUUACCCCUGAAGAGGAGAAAAUUAACGUCCAUCUGGAACCAAAGUACAUUGAAGUUUGUGAAGAAGCUUCAGUCACAUUCAACUGCACUUUUCAGCCUCGUGGAAAGUACAAAGUGAGCUGGCAUUAUAGCCAGACACCUUAUUUAGACUGUGAAACAGAAAACAAGAUACCUGAAGGACAGAGAUUUUUUAAAGAGGAAGAUGAAGAUUGGUCAACACUCAACAUUACUUUUAACAAAGCCAGUGAGAGCGGAUGGUACUUCUGCAAGGUUACAAAAGACAUCCCGGUUCUCUUACGAUACUGCAGUAAUGGAACACAGGUUAUAGUCGAUGCCACUAGCAAUAGCACCAGCAGCACAACCAGCACCAGAACCACAGAAUCUCAGAAUCAGACAACAGCACAUUUACCUACAACUUGCAUGAACAAUGAUACAACAACCUCCACACCACCCAUGAUAUCAAAGGAGAAGUCUACUCAGUGGUGGAUAUGGCUAGCAUUGGCUGUUGGAUGCGCGGUACUUCUUGUGUCAAUUGUUGUCAUAUGCAUUUUGACACGCAAACCUGAAGACAUCAUUUAUGAGAACACCAAACCAGUGGAAUCGAGCUGCUGGGGGCGAAACAAGGCUAAGAAGGACAUCUGCGACCUGCCUUUGUCCAAAAAAACGGACACCAUUAAACCACUGAGGAAGUACGACACUCUUUCAAGCAACAGAAUCCGAAGGCCUUAAGUAUUAAAUAUGAAAGAAUGACCUAUCCUCUGAAAACACAUUAAUUAUAUUAAAAACCUUACUGUACACACAUAUUUAUUGUAAUGUUGCAUUUCCCGAUAAGAUGGGAAGCUGUAAAUAUAUAAGGCUGUUUGUUUUGUUUUUUCUUCAGAAAGAGAUACAUGAGAAAACCUGAUUUUUUGUCCCUUAAUGACUUUCAGUUGUGUCAAACCGAAACAUUUUGUGGUUAUAAAUGUGAAAACCACCAAAAAUAAAACUCUGUCACACUUUUUUUUCCCACUCACAAUUAAUAAUGCAUUAUCAUUACUGCCACUGCACAAAUUGGUCUGGUAUUUCAGAAGUUACAUGAAGAUUAGUCGACCGUGAUUAGAUAACAAACCACAUGCUGUGAAAGCAGCAAAUGAGGGAAGAAGAAAAAAGGAACUGAGAUGUUUCGUAGUUAUGAAUCAUUAACUCGUAUGUAUUCAAUAAAGGAACUGGGAGUUUUCUUUGAACGCACAUUUAACACGGGCCUAUUGUAACUAGCGUCGGUUACUGACCUUAAUCAGUCCAGACGCCAUAAUGACUUUAAAACGAGGCUGUGAGAGAGACAAUGGUAAUGUUAUGCAUUUCAUAUCAUUUCACAACUCAUGACUUUAAAGAAAUAAAUGUUGUUGAACAACAGUAUAAUCCAUUGAACGUCUAUCCUGCACAGCCUACUUUUAUUCCUGUCAAAAAUGAAAUACUCAACACAAAAUGCGACUUUCUGAUAGCCGUCAAAACACGACAGUAGCUUCUUUACCUCAGAUCUUGAAUAUACCUUAAAGGAAACAAGAACUUUCAAACUGUGAACAAACAAGUGAAUUCCAUGAAAGACAGCUGAAUAUGUAUUUUGAUUAACGUUAAAAAUAUGCACUUACCGAAUUCGAUUUAAGAGCAAGUCGAGCAGUGUUCAUGCUGAGAGAGCGAUAGACCCCGCCCACACGCUCUCCUGAUUGGCUGUAAUUUAUGAUUGAUUUUGGUUAUGGUUGUUGAUGUUGUUGUUUUUUGUUUUGUUUUGUUUUUUUGUUUUUUUUAAGGAAGCGAGGAAAUUAAGGAGAACUCAUUAAAUCGACUGUGUAAAGACUUACAUUUUGACGUUUAUAAUAAUAAGGAAUAUUAUUAUGAAAUAAAUCAGGAAAUUAUAAUGAGUUCUGAAGAAUUAUGCGACACUGAGGACUGGCGUAAUGACGCUAAAACUUCAGCUUUGAAAUCGCUAGAAUGAUUUAAAUUUUAAAAUACGUGAAAAUACAGAACAGAUGUUUUUAAACCGUAUUAAUAUUUAAUAUUUAUUUUCAUCAAGUAAACUCAUUUGCAAUCAUGAGAAAAUUAUUUCCAAAACAUUUUUUAAAUCAUUUUAAUAUUUUCUGGGGCCAGUUGCAUAAACUUAGCCUCCAUGUUAAGAAUGUAGGUGCGUCCCAAAUCGCACAUAUGCACUCUUAUACGAGGUUUUGUAGUAUAAACAGUGUGAGUUCCAAUAAUAAUACUUUAAACAGCACUUUAAACCCCCAGAUGAUGCACUUAAAUAGCCGAAACAACUAAAUGUGGAAUGUUGGACACUUCAGACUCCGGCUUUCAGAUUAUAAAUAACAAAAUAACCUUAUGUAAUGCAUUCACUACAUGGUUGAGUACAUAGUGCAGAGUUCUGUGUCUUAAGAACUAGUUUGACCAACUAGCAGCUGCCAAGGGGAAAUCAGUCUUACUUCUUCAAUAUAAAGAAGACCUUUUCAUAAGCAAAUUUAAAAGUUUAUGACCAGUCUUAAAGAAAAAAUUAGAUGAAUAAGUUUAUAAGCCUAGUCUUAAAAGUUUAUGCAUGGCCGCUGGUGUAAAGAUUGUUAGGUUGAUGGUCAUAAGCAGUUAUAUAAAAUACAGGUGUAGUAACAUUUUCAAACAAACCCGGAACACUAGCAGAAAGUGGGACACAGUCCUCAGAGAACAGCCCUGUCCUAGUUGCAGGUGCAUUUAAUGUGUGAAAAAAACAAUGAAGGCCUUUGCCAAACAGGGUCAUGCUUACUGAUCGAAACUGAUGGACACUUGGGUGCCCAAAAAUAUAUCAGUUCACGCAUUUCCUUUGUGACCUAGAUUGAACAAAAAUGAACAGCAUGAAGACUAACAAAGAUAAAAUCAACUGCUGAACUGUAAUUUGGACACCAAGUCAAUACUUUGUGGGAUAUUUGACAUAAAAUGUAUAAAACAGGCCUUUCACUGAAGGAGAUGUUUUGCCUUCAGAAAUAGGUGACCUCGUGUUAACAUCUGGUCAACCUAAUGAAGUCAAAUAUUCCACGAGCUGUUUUUGAUUUCUAUUUAUUUUCCUUCCUUUAUCCAAAUUUGAGAAUGUAUAAACAUAUCCCGGAUUUGUGUAACUUCACUACUAGCAUUUAACAUUUACCAUCAUAUAAACAUCAAAUUAGAAAAUAUAUAAAAUGUAAAGAAGAAAAGAAAAAAGGUUCAAGGGUUGCAUUUAGUUUACAUCAUACGCUUAAGGUUGGCGAGUCUGAGACCCAAUGUUGGUUUUUACUUUAUCUCUAAAUGUAUAUUUCCCAUAAAAACAAAGAAACGGUUUUAAUCAUUUUUAAUCUAGAUGGCAGUUGAGCUGAGUCCAAAAAGUCAAGAACUCUGAUGGAUUUAGUUUAGCUACAUUUGUUGCUAGGUUAAUUUUAUGUUGGAAAAUAGUUUAUAUAGGCUAGCUAUAUGUGUACUUCUCACAACAACAACUCAAUGUUGUAGUAGUUUACGAAGACAUCUUUUCAAAGUACGUUUAUAUCUGGAAGCCCUAUUUUUUUUUUUGUAAGUGUGUGUGUUUGUUCAUUCUGCAGUCGGCCUAUAGCCUACACCUCGAAGACGUUUCCUGUCAGAUGUUACAUAGACACUCAGAAAAUGUUCUUAACAUGUUUAUGAUUUAAAAAUGAUUUUAUGAGACUGUUUUCCAGAUGAAACGCUCUUUAACAAACAUCUUGAAGACGGAAGUGAACUAUUUAAAGUAAUCCCAGAGCUUCAGCUCAACCAUUCACCGAUUAGCUCAUCGAUGAGUUCUCGGUGAAAUCAAAAACAUGCUUUUGGAUCAGUUUUGUGAUUUUAUUGUGCCAUCAAGUGGACACACAGCACAACAGCAGGGUUGUCUGCUUUCUAGCACAAUUAAAUUAAAUUAAAUGCACUCAGCGAUUUAUUAUCGUUUCCCACGUUUAAUAAUUUUAAGGAUUGUUAAAUAUUUUUGAAUGAGGAAAAUAAAUAUUUGUCAAUUUUCUUGUGUUUUGUGCAUUUUAUUCUGACCAUAAUUAUUUGAACCCACAUAAUAUUAUAAUUUAGACACCCCAAUCUAAUAUAUAUGUUUUAAGAGAACCUUAGCAGUGUAAAGAUGAGCAGCAAUGCAGCGGCGCGCUGGGUGGGUGUGUCCCGAGCAGCGCGUCUCUCCGCCGGUAACCGGCGCUGCUGCUGCCGCUGACGGAGAGCGAGACAGACGGAAGGUGGGUGGGGACAUCCGAGCUAUUGUCGGGAUAAACGCACCUCACGCUCGGGCGGCUGAACGCUGAGCUCGAGCUAAUCCGCGCAGGAGAAGACUGAAUAAACAACUCGGCGUUGGCCAAGGCUUUCCAUUUUAGGUAAGGUUCUGGAUUUUUUUUACCUUGUCUUCCAAGCACGCAGAGAGUUAACGCUGCACUGCGUUGCAUUUGGGGCCAGACAGGACAUGCAUGCUGUUUAUACAUGUGCACGUCAGCGAAAAUGACAAGAUUUGAGGUCGCAUGCAGAGAAAUGGGUCAGAAGAUAAAUUGGUCAGAUCAGCAGCCUGAUUGCCAAUGCUGCUGUCUCCAUUGCACUAUAGUGCAGUGGUUCUCAAACCUGUCCUGGAAUACUCCCAGCCCUGUAUAUUUUGUAUGUCUCCUUCAUCUGUCACACCCGAUUCAGCUAAUUAUCAGCUCAUUAGUGGAGACUGCAAGACCUGAAGUGGGUGUGUCAGAGACAGGGAGACAUACAACAUGUGCAGUGCUGGGGGUUCUUCAUGGUGAGGUUUGAGAACCAAUGCACUAGUGCAAACACACUGAAAUGCAUGCUGCUCUUUGCUGACAGGGCUGCAUGGCACAAGCUGUCGCAGUACUUGCAUGUAACUGUUUGUAUGCAUAAUAAAUCAAGUCUAUAGAAGGUUUCAUUUUCUCUGAGGCACGUGAUUUAUUCAAAUGAUGGUACAUUUGAAAUGCAUGGGCUUGAGGUCAGUGACAUGAAUUAAUGGUGCUUCACAAUAUUUGAUGCUAAUGUUUAUUAUUAUUAUUAUUAGUAGUUGUAGUAAUGAUUUACUAAAUGAUGUUGCUCAGAAACAAGAAUGGUUUGCUUGCCUAAUGAUUAUUAUUCAUGUUUAGAAUAGAGUUAAGGAUAAUUACUAAAAGCCAUAACUCCUAAAAGAGCGCUAAAUGUAUGUAUUGCAUUUAUUUAUAUAUUACUUCCUCUGCUUAAUAUACUGAGUUAAUCUGUCCCUAAAGUUUAAACUUCAAAUUAAUUAUUUACAAUGUUUAAAGAAAUGUAUUUCUUAAAUUUCAGUUUCAGUUCUUCAGUGUAAUAAUUUGAGCUAAUCAUAUUUUCUAUCCCUUGAUCCUAACCCUCACCUAUUAAUUAUUAAUUUAUUAAUUUAAACAUAUUCAUUGCAAUUAUGAAUGUAUUAUUUAUUUUUUGCUCCAUCGAAAUUAUGAUGUUUUUCUUAAAUCUCACAGAAUAUUUAUAUAUAUUUUUUAGUUUGUGUUAUGCAUUUUAUUUAGACAUUAUAUUUUAUACAUUGAACUAUUUAUUCAUAAUAUUUAAAUAAAUGUAUUCUAUGUAAUUUAAUAUGCAUCUCUUCCCCCC
rnacentral:lncRNA from 1 species